rnacentral:rRNA from 1 species
UACGGAGGGUGCAAGCGUUAAUCGGAAUUACUGGGCGUAAAGCGCGCGUAGGCGGCUCGUCAGUCGGGUGUGAAAUCCCUGGGCUCAACCUGGGAAUUGCAUUCGAUACUGCCGAGCUAGAGUGUGGGAGAGGGUAGUGGAAUUCCCGGUGUAGCGGUGAAAUGCGUAGAUAUCGGGAGGAACAUCAGUGGCGAAGGCGACUGCCUGCCAACACUGACGCCUGAGGUGCGAAAGCGUGGGUAGCAAACAGG